AGUGAAAGAAAAGAAAGACCUCAGUCACGCUUCAGACCUCUGAUCAGGGAAGGCUACCCGCUGAGUUUAAGCAUAUCAAUAAGCGGAGGAA
rnacentral:rRNA from 1 species